GUGCCACUGUCUCCUGCUGGGCCUGGGUCCACGGGCCGGGCCGGCCUUCCCUGCCCUCAGCGGGCCUCACAGAGGCCCUGACCCAUGCCAGCCACAGCCUCUCACUGUGCUUAGGCUACAGGGUUCUCUGUUCCAGGGACAGAGCAGCUUGGGUUCCGAGCACACAGAAUCAAGCCUUGUCAUCACCAAAGUUUCUGAGGUCACGUGUCCCCUGCCAUCAGCUUCCCAGCUGGUCCUUCAGUUCUCCCUUUGGCUGAAGCCAGCCUUUUAGCUGGGGCCCUGGCCCCGCUGUGAACCCACUGACAUGCUAAGGCCUUGGGCAAGUCACCUCUGGUAUGUGGGCCUCAGUUUUCUGAUCUAUAAAAUGGGUCCACCUUCAUUUUCCCAGCCCGACUCCAGUAGGACUGGCAUGGCGACCCAAGGAGCACAUGUUCCAUGUUCCCAGGACACAGGUGAGCAGACGAUGGCCCAGGAUGACAGGUGCACUGACUACUGAGGGGACUAGAGUCCAGGCGUGGGAUCUUUUACUGUAGCCCUGUUUUGCGGACCUAUUAAUCAUUAGUAGUACCAUUGGGAUCUUCGGGGUGCCCAGGGUGCUGUGAGCUCCCCUCCUCCCGGCUGUGCCCUGGGGAACUCUGACAUGAACGUCUUCCUCCUCAGAUCAAGCAGAAAGCUGCCCCCUUCGCCUCCCCCCGAGGGCCUUCCACCAAUCAGGUCACUGCCUCUGAGGCCCUCAGGACACAGCUGUUCUUCUGGAUGUGCCCAGGCCAGCAGUCUGUCCAUCUGCUCCAUUUCUGGGCUCCAGGCCUAGAGAGGAGAGCCAGCCAGCCCAAGCUCCUCCACUGGCCUGCCUGCCGGGACCCUCACCUCUGAUGGCUCCCGAUUCCACCCUCUGUCCCGGCCCUGCGGGACCACUGCAUGCCCCUCACCCUCCCCAGGUCCCCCAGGCUUGGCCACUGUGUCCCUGCUCGCCUGACUGAUGCAGGUGUCGUUGCCUGUUGGCUGUGUGUUCUACCGAGAGGCCUGGUCAGAGGGACAUAGAGAUCUGCUGUUUGAACCUCUCAGUCUCCUUGCUAGAUGAGUAGAAAAGUGCCAGCACCAGCCGUGGUGACAGCCGGUGUUUCCUGAGCUCUUGCGGAGCUGUGGACGUGCAGCGCUGUGGUCCCCCGUCUCCAUCCCCUGUGGCCUGGCUGCCCUGUCUCACUCCUCAUGGGAACACUGGGGAGGGUGCAGGAAGGGAGCCUGUGGAUACCAUGGGGAGGAUGGAGGGAGGCACUGCAGGCAUGACGCUUGGCAGGACUCGGUAAACGCUGAUUCCACCACCGAUUUGAGAGCAACCAUAUUACUGGCCCUGUUUUAGGAUCCUGGAGGCUGAGACCUUAAAGGGAGCUGCCACCCUGCCCAAACCCACCAGAGAUUUGGGGCCCAGGACCUGACAGCCAGAGAUGCUUUUUCUGCUGCACCCUGUGGUGCCUCCUGGUCACUGACGGGGCCUCACCGAUGGGAGGCUGGGCCAGUUUGGGGACCCCCAAUGCUCACAAUGCUGUUGCGGUGGGGGGAGAACUCGGGUCUGGGACUGCGCACCUGUGUUCUGGCCCCUCGUCUCCAGGCUGUGAGGACCCCUUCACCCGACCCACAGGCUGCGAAAGGCGCGUGGCCGCGGCGCCCAGCGCAGUGAUCCUGGCAGGGCGUCUGCGGGGAUUUACGGGCGAGGCGGCAGGUGCCAACGCAGGUCUGCCAGAGCGGGGUCUGUGCGGCCCGCCUUCCACUCAGGC